CCCACCCUCUACGAGAAAACCGUCCCAUCGCCGUGUAGACAUCACCACUGUGACGCCGGUGGCAUGACAAUACAGAAAAGGACGAGACUCGUCCUUACUUUUCGAUGCUUUGCACGAUUUUCCGACCAAACUUGUCCUUAAAGUUUGGGAAAGGGAGAAGGCUCUCAAUUUCAUUCUUGGAGAUAGGCUGUGCUAAAAAAAGGUAAAUACUAUUUUAUUUACAACUUUUUUUAAUUUCUUGCUUAAUUAGUGCUUUAGUUUCAGUUUUGGUUAGUUUAUUGUAGUAUUUAGUAAUUGUGUAAUGUUGCUUACUUGUUGAUGUUUGAGAGCUGUUAGAAUAGGAUUUUGAUGGCUAAAAUGGUGAUUUGAUUAUGGUUGAUAAUGGUUUGCUAGUAGAGAUAUUAGAUUUCUCUUGAAUACUUCGAAAAUUUGUACAACGUGAUUCAAAUAAGCUGUUUGAUUGCCUUUAGUUGGUAUGGAAACAAAAUUAUAUUGAUUUCAUUCAGUCUUAUACUUGUUUGCUUAUCCGGCUUACACUUGCAAUGUGAAAUUUAUGUGGAAUUUUGGGAGGUGGGUGUUAAUCUGUCUCACUAAUGCAUCAAUAUGGUAAAAAACUGAGUGUGAGUCUUGUCAUUACUCUUGGUUCUUCUUCUCUGUUUUGUAACUUUUACUUACUUAUGAGAAUAAAAAAAAAAGAUGCUUUGCCUAAUUUUGAAAUGGUGAAAUGAGGUCUGUGUCUUGCUCAAUUGCAUCUCUUUAAGUUCUGAAGAUUAUGUAUGCCUCUGCUUCUUUGUGCUUGGAUUGAUAAUUGAUUUUGUCUCUAUGGGUCAUUGGUAAUUUGAUCAUGUUUGAUCUUUCUCAGAGCCUGUCUAUUGUUAUUAUGGUCAUAUCAUGCCCUUGUUUGUUCUUGUGUUUGAAAAUAGUUGUUGUAAUGAACCAAAAUUCAUCAUGCCUAGAUAAUGCACCUCUUUUAUGAACUUGCCAAGCUUUCAAAUGCCUAAAUGCUGAAGUCAUGUCAUUUAAAUUGUAUGGUUUGCCUAUUCAGUGUCCAGAAAGUAUAAUAAAUGCCUUCCCCUCUGUAAUCCCUAGACCAUGUGUACUGCAUCUCUUUUGUCUUGAGCUGUUAGUGGCCAGGUUGCUCAUAUGAAAGUAUGAAACUUGUAAGUUUCACAUGUUUUGAUUGUAUUUAGGAACCUUGUACUGUGAACCAUGCUCAAACUGCUGUUUUGUUUGCCCUUCUGUGGUGAUUGCUUGAUUUGACAAAAGUUGUUAAGUCUUGCAUGGCCUGGGAACAGGUUGUGUUCCUCCAAGGUCUAAGUAGCAUGACAUUGAGUCUUUGAAUCUUCCUGAUAAGUGGUGUCACAUGGUUGUCCUAUUAUGUUGCUUGACCUUGCUCCCUUUGAUAACUGAUUGCUGGUUCAACCUGUGUAUGUUUGUCAUUCGUAAAUAUCUUCAAAAAACCAAAUCUGUCCUCAUCUGUGAUUUACUUAAGGUCCAACUUACUGUAGAGUCAUCAUGUACCAUGGGUUGUUCUUUUCCUUUUUGUGUUGUCUUAAGUCUUACUAUGCCUCGUCACUCACUUACCUGAUCAAAUAGCAUUGAUCCCACUUCACUAUUCUGCUGAGCUUUAGCUGAAUCAUUUGCACCUAUACUUGCCUUAUUCUACCAUUAUAUCUGAGUGUUUCCCCCUACAUCUUGUUUUGAAUGUUAUUUUCUCUUAGUUUGCCUCUGUACCCUGUAUGAUUAACUGGUCCAGUGUCCUGAUUCUUGGGUUACUUGUCUUGGAACUUUGGGACCUUAUACUUAUGCUGUCAAGACCCUGCACCAUGUGUUUCAAACUACUUGCCUGUUUUCUCUGUUUACUUGCUCUUCUUGUGCACAUGUGUAUCCCUUACCUAUUUCCCUUAUCUGCAAAUUAACCCUGUGUAUGAGUAUGUCCAGUGACCUUAGGCACACAUUAAUGACACUAGAAUUGACUCAACUUGUGACUUAUGUGCCUUGGAUGACUGAUAUGGUUUGCCCUUUUAAAAUUCCUGCCUGCUACCUGCACUCGACCAUGCAUCCUAUACUUGGAAUUGACUCUUGCAUUGACUUUCAUGCCUCUCUUGAACUUAUAACCAUGGAUGCAAUGCCAUUAUUGACAUUAAAUCCUUGGUAAGUCUGCUGCUGUGCCUUCCCAUAUUUGAAAAUGUUCCCUCGGUGUCUUUCGAUGUAUGAAGCCACACUCUACUUAGAUUUGCAUUGUUGUUUUGAGUUGGUUGUCAACCUGAUUUGCCUUUGACCAUCCCUGAGAUGCCAUGAUAUAGCUAUCAUCCUAUAGCACUCAUUUGCUUCUCUUCAACUUUUUUGAGUAUGUGAUCAUGGUUGAUAUUCAUGCUCCUCUGAAUAAGUUUAAGCAUGCCUCUUUCAUUUUAGUAUGCAUACUUGACAUAUCUGCCUAGGUCUAGUUAUAUUUGGCUUAACUGAUUGUGGCUGACUACCACUUGCUGAAUAUGAGAUGCUUCUCUUUGAAUUAAGCUUGUCAUUGAGUUUUAAGGUGCACAUUUACCCAUCAUGUUUGUUCUCUGAUGACAUGUAUCUACUGCCUACACUUUCUUUUUACUAUUCAAUGUUACCUGCUCUUGCUGUAGCUCUAAGUCCACUCAUGAGAUGGUUAUUGUCUGGUUUGCCUUUGCUUGUCCUUAGUAACUGCGUAUUUCUUCCAUUUUGCCUUGCUUACAGCUACUGUUACUGCUUGCCUUUGCCCCUUCAAAGGAGUUGUGUGUUUGAUUUGUUAUUACUAUUUUGUGUCAUUAAGGUCUUCUAUAAUAUGAACUUCAUGUGUAUGUACUUGUAUAUUGUCUCCUUUGAUUGCUUACUCUUCCCUGUAUCUAUGUGAAAACUGUACCAACCCUCACCAUGAUUACUUGUAUAUUUAAGUGAUCUCCUGGUUCUGUACUCUCUCAGUCCCUUCUAAUGAGAUUCAAAUAGAUCUAGGACCAAGUGUGGUAAUUGGGGGUUGUCUUAAUCUCCCCAGUGUUAGCCAUGCCUGGGGGUCCUUUGAGACCCCUUGGAACUUGUACGACAUCGGGAAUACGAGAUUAAGACCUAGUCCCCAUGCCAUUCUAAGUCUUAGGAUAAUUUGAGCACUAUUUGUAUAGUCAAAUGGGUAAAUAUGGAUCAAGUGUGAUUACCUUAUAUAUGUGUGUGUAUGUGUGUAUACUUUAUCUUAUAUACAUGUGUGUGUGUUUAUAACUUUAGUCAUUUACCUUAGUGAUAAGUUCAGCGAUUAUAAACUAACCGGUGUUUUUUUUCCUUCCUCCUCCUCCUCGUACGUGGCCGUUCGGGUCUAAUUCAAAGCCCACCCAUUGGGCCUAAGGGCCAAAUGGGAAUAUUAUUUCAAAUCGAGUCCGAAAAGACAAAGAAAAUAGCAAGGCGCGCAGAAGGCCCAGUCAUGGGUGAAAAUGGUCAACUAGGGGCUUGGUACGCCCCUAGUCUAACUUAGCCUCUUCAUAUUCACUCACAUGUUGUUUAAUUUGAUAAAAACUUGUAUUCAAACUCAUAAUAUAUUGGAAACCGUAUGAUUGGAA